UACGUAGGGUGCGAGCGUUGUCCGGAAUUAUUGGGCGUAAAGAGCUUGUAGGUGGCUCGUCGCGUCGGGAGUGAAAACCCGCGGCUUAACCGCGGGCCUGCUUUCGAUACGGGCGGGCUAGAGUUCGGCAGGGGAGACUGGAAUUCCUGGUGUAGCGGUGGAAUGCGCAGAUGUCAGGAGGAACACCGGUGGCGAAGGCGGGUCUCUGGGCCGAUACUGACACUGAGAAGCGAAAGCGUGGGGAGCGAACAGG
rnacentral:rRNA from 1 species